rnacentral:misc_RNA from 1 species
ACGAAUUUCGAUUCGGCCUUCUGUGCUGGUGGCAACACAUGUGCACGUUGAUCGUAAUUCCAUUCUCCUUUCAAUCGUCCAAGUGUGUUCGGUCGGCCUUUUGGGUCGAAGAAGCGUGGCCGUCAGGCUCGUUUCGUUCUGAGCGCACAUUGGUUAUUUCACCCACUCUGGGUACUCGAAACAAAGAAAACAAAUCAUAUAAAUUAAA